AGACGCCCCCCCGUAAAACUGGUGAACCAUUCGGAUAUGCAGAGUUUCGUAGCCGUUCAGAAACGUGUUACGUCAUUGCUCCAGAACGGCCUGCUUCUGCCGUUUUCAACAUAUAUGUGCCUCGUAUCAAGAAUUUGAUUGGACACAAGUUGCAAUGUUUGCCCUCCCAGCAGCGUCCAAUGUUUCAAUCAUUGUUUGAUGCUCAUGACAAAGAGGUGGAUAAAUACUGUGAUUCCCUACAGUCGAGCCAUCAGAUGAUUGUUUCGAAGCAGAUUGAACUCUCUGAAACAUUUGGUGAAAUGAUAGAUGAAGUUUUGAGAGCUGCAACGCAGCGCGAUUCACAGCCACAAGAGAACCCCCCCACUACCUCAAUGCCUCCAACAAAUGAUCCUGUAUCCACACCAACUGUUCCAACACCUGAUAAACAACAACAUGAUCAGGAAAGCCAUGUUCCU